GGCUCAGUAGUUUAGUUGAUAAAGUAUUCGUCUAACAUACAAGAGUCGUGAGUUCGAUUCCCACCCGAGCAA
rnacentral:tRNA from 1 species